AACGAACGCUGGCGGCAGGCUUAACACAUGCAAGUCGAGCGCCCCGCAAGGGGAGCGGCAGACGGGUGAGUAACGCGUGGGAAUCUACCGAGCCCUGCGGAAUAGCUCCGGGAAACUGGAAUUAAUACCGCAUACGCCCUACGGGGGAAAGAUUUAUCGGGGUUUGAUGAGCCCGCGUUGGAUUAGCUAGUUGGUGGGGUAAAGGCCUACCAAGGCGACGAUCCAUAGCUGGUCUGAGAGGAUGAUCAGCCACAUUGGGACUGAGACACGGCCCAAACUCCUACGGGAGGCAGCAGUGGGGAAUAUUGGACAAUGGGCGCAAGCCUGAUCCAGCCAUGCCGCGUGAGUGAUGAAGGCCCUAGGGUUGUAAAGCUCUUUCAACGGUGAAGAUAAUGACGGUAACCGUAGAAGAAGCCCCGGCUAACUUCGUGCCAGCCGCCGCAGUAA
rnacentral:rRNA from 1 species